rnacentral:piRNA from 1 species
UCUCAUUUCUUGUAACUAUCGAGGUAAAA